CCAGCACUCCUGUUCACUACCAGCAUCUUAGAUUUUACCCUUUCUUUGUCCUGUUCACUGGCAGGCAAAUAAUUGCUCCCUGCUAGGCUGCUGCAUUUAUGGCUGGUCACACCUAUCAUCAUCUCCCCUCGUGUGAACAGACCCUGCAGAGGACAUGGGAUGCGGGCUGCUAUGCACCAGGAUGUUAUACAAGAAAGAAGACUCAGCGGGAGGCAUGAGAAAGUCAAAGAAAGUCCAAGUAGACAUGUGAAGUUUCCAGAGAGAAACACUGAAGAUUGAUUUAGUAACAGAUGUGCUCGGGAAGAAGAUUAGGGAGAAGCAAAUUUAGGAAGAAAAUCCAAAUAUCAAUAUGCCUGCAGCUCUAGGAGUUUAUAUUAGGCUACUGAGAAGAUUAAUCAGAUUUCAAAAAACGCAGCCGGUGUAAUGCACGUCAGAUUGUGCUCCACAGCAUACAAACCAUGUGCACAAUUUGCUUUUUUCCAUAAAAAGCAUGGUUAUAUAUGCAAGUAAUUUCCAUUUUUCUGCUGCCUUAUUUUUAACCCAUUUAACAACCUUUAUGAUCACAGUUCAGUCAAGUAGCAGCAACUGUGCCAAUAACAGCAUUCCAGCUGGGUUAAUGAAUACACACAUGAUUUCAUGAAGGAAUAUAUCUUUUUUGACCCAAUUUCAACCUUUCCUAUUUCAAGCUGUUUAAUUAUAAGAUAUAUUGGUUGGAAACAAACACCCAUUUAUGCAACAUUAGAAGUUAAAACAAAUUCCAGAUGCAAUUAUUUUCGGCAGCGAGUGCCUGUGAUUGGGAUGUGUAGGUAACAAAUUAGUGGCACAGUUGAUAAAUGCCUUUCACAGAACAGAUGCAAAUAACCAGACUUCUGUGUUCCUUGAGUCUGCAUGAUAAUAGGUUCUUUAAGCACCCUGCUAAGAAUUAGGAAAUUAGUCAAAUGGGAUCAUAUUUAGGUUGAGCUAAUACUGCACAGCUGAAUUUACCCACCAUUAUCUGUGGGCAUAAUUGGAGACAACUGUUUUUUGGACCAGCUGUGCAGGUCACAAAAGGAUAAUAAUGGGGGCCCAGCCUUGCCAUGUCAGAUUGAUAAAUGUUUAUAGCAUAGUGAACAAUUUAGGAUUUUUUUUAAGACUCCUAGAAUUGAAUAUGCCAAAUUAAACUGCUCAUCAAUUCUACAUAGUAUGAGUUGGUGGAAUUCACAGGGAGAAGAGAGAAAAGGUGUGCUAAGAGGAAAAGCAUCUGAGAGGUGUCAGAUAAAACUUUCCCACACACAUAAUCUUUUUUACA